CUGCCAGCACCACACUGCCAGCACCACACUGCCAGCACCACACUCCACGCGUCAGGAAAAGUUCAGUAAUAUUCAUAGGUGUGUGUGUGUGUGGAGUGUUGUCAGCGCUUAUACCAGAUAAUUAGAAAAGUAUUUACUGUGAGAAAAUAUUGAGGCACACACAUACUGAAUAUAUAGAAACAUGUCAAAUAGAUAUAGAAGGAGAUUGACAUAGACAUAUAAACACAACCAAAAGAAAUAACGACGAAAGACACAUUUAAGUACCAUAGAUCAACAAUUUGUGAAUAACAGGUGAAGCGAAAAUAUGGAACAUAACGGUAUUUAGAGAUAGCUUGAAGCACAGGUCAAGGAUGAUAGCAGCGACGUGGGCGUGGUGUCUGCUGCUAGUUGGCGUGGUGGGCGUGGCGGUGGGCGUGUCGGUGGGCGUGUCUGUGGAGGAGCUGGCCCGCGCCCACUCCCUGGACGCCAUCAUUACAGAGCACCUGAGGGGUUAUCUUCGUCAGCACCAGCAGGAGAGACACCUGCAGGAGGCGUUGGUACAGCCGUACCUUCUACCUCACCUCGCUCGCGUUGCCAGGUACGUGAAGGAGUACGACACCGUGGUGGGGCCCCUGGUGAGGCGGACCCGGGGAGCUGAAGGAGGGCUGGAGGCAGGGGCGGACCCCGUGCUUAGCCUGGUGGUGGUCAGACGCCUGGUGAGGGACUGGUCCUGGCUUAGGGAAGCUCCGCCUCUCUCACAACACU